GAUGCGACCUCAGCUCAGGCGGGGCUACC
rnacentral:rRNA from 2 species